CAGACGGGUGGAAGCAUGCCCGUAAGGACAUGGUGACAGUAUGGGAGGGAGAAUGGUGGAAUGAGUAGGGAGAUGUGGGGGAUAAUCCCGCAGGCCGUAAACCCAAGGGUUCCAGGGGAAGGUUCGUCCGCCCUGGGUUAGUCGGGACCUAAGCUGAGGCCGAAAGGCGUAGGUGAUGGACAACAGGUUGAUAUUCCUGUACUACCGAUAACCGUUUGAGAGAUGGGAUGACACAGUAGGAUAAGCUAAGCACACUGUUGGUUAUGUGUGCCCAAGCAUUGAGGCAGUCAAAGUAGGCAAAUCCGCUUUGAUAAUGCUGGGAUGUGAUGGGGAGCGAAAUUUAGUAGCGAA
rnacentral:rRNA from 1 species